rnacentral:rRNA from 1 species
UACGAGGGGGGCGAGCGUUGUUCGGAAUUAUUGGGCGUAAAGGGUGCGUAGGCGGCCUGACAAGUCUGAUGUGAAAUCCCUGGGCUCAACCCAGGGCCUGCAUCGGAAACUGUCGGGCUUGAGUAUGGGAGAGGCGAGUGGAAUUCCUGGUGUAGCGGUGAAAUGCGCAGAUAUCAGGAGGAACACCGAUGGCGAAGGCAGCUCGCUGGGACGUGACUGACGCUGAGACGCGAAAGCGUGGGGAGCAAACAGG